rnacentral:rRNA from 1 species
UACAAUGGAGAGUUUGAUCCUGGCUCAGGAUGAACGCUAGCGGGAGGCUUAACACAUGCAAGCCGAGGGGUAUAGUUCUUUCGGGAACUAGAGACCGGCGCACGGGUGCGUAACGCGUAUGCAACUUGCCCUACUGAAAAGGAUAGCCCUUCGAAAGGAGGAUUAAUACUUUAUAACAGAUUUAAUGGCAUCAUUAGAUUUUGAAAGAUUUAUCGCAGUAGGAUAGGCAUGCGUAAGAUUAGUUAGUUGGUGAGGUAACGGCUCACCAAGACGAUGAUCUUUAGGGGGCCUGAGAGGGUGAACCCCCACACUGGUACUGAGACACGGACCAGACUCCUACGGGAGGCAGCAGUGAGGAAUAUUGGACAAUGGGUGGAAGCCUGAUCCAGCCAUCCCGCGUGUAGGAUGACGGCCUUAUGGGUUGUAAACUACUUUUAUCUGGGGAUAAACCUACUUACGUGUAAGUAGCUGAAGGUACCAGAAGAAUAAGCACCGGCUAACUCCGUGCCAGCAGCCGCGGUAAUACGGAGGGUGCAAGCGUUAUCCGGAUUUAUUGGGUUUAAAGGGUCCGUAGGCGGAUUAAUCAGUCAGUGGUGAAAUCUCAUAGCUUAACUAUGAAACUGCCAUUGAUACUGUUAGUCUUGAGUGAUGUUGAAGUUGCUGGAAUGUGUAGUGUAGCGGUGAAAUGCUUAGAUAUUACGCAGAACACCAAUUGCGAAGGCAGGUGACUAAACAU